UUAAAGUCUGGCCUGCCCUAUGAAUAAUUAAAUGGCCGCAGUAUUUUGACUGUGCAAAGGUAGCAUAAUAAUUAGUUUUUUAAUUGAAAGCUGGAAUGAAAGGUUGAACGAAAAAAUAUCUGUCUCAAUUUGAUUUAAUUAGAAAUUUAUUUUUUAGUAAAAAAGCUAAAAUAAUUUUUAAAGACGAGAAGACCCUAUAGAGUUUUAUAUUUAAAAUUAUAUUUAUUAUAGAAUUUUUUUAUAAUUUAAGAUAUUUUAUUGGGGUGAUAAAUAAAUUUAAAUAACUUUAUUAGUUAUACACAUUAAUAUAUGAAUAAUUGAUCCAUAAAAAUGAUUAAAGAUUAAAUUACCUUAGGGAUAACAGCGUUAUUUUUUUUUAGAGUUCUAAUCGAAAAAAAAGAUUGCGACCUCGAUGUUGGAUUAAAAUUAAUUUAUGGUGUAGAAGCUAUAUUAUUAGGUCUGUUCGACCUUUAAAAUUUUACAUGAUCUGAGUUUAAACCGGUGUGAGCCAGGUUGGUUUCUAUCUUGAAAUAAAUCAAAUAUUUUAGUACGAAAGGACCAAAUAUUUAUAAUAUUUAUUAAAUUUUGAAUUA
rnacentral:rRNA from 1 species